GAUGAAGGAACGCAGCGAAAUGCGAUACGUAAUGUGAAUUGCAAAUUCAGUGAAUCAUCGAGUCUUUGAACGCACAUUGCGCCCCCUGGUAUUCCGGGGGGCAUGCCUGUCCGAGCGUCAUUGCUGCCCUCAAGCACGGCUUGUGUGUUGGGCCCCGUCCUCCGAUCCCGGGGGACGGACCCGAAAGGCAGCGGCGGCACCGCGUCCGGUCCUCGAGCGUAUGGGGCUUUGUCACCCGCUCUGUAGGCCCGGCCGGCGCUUGCCGAUCAACCCAAAUUUUUAUCCAGGUUGACCUCGGAUCAGGUAGGGAUACCCGCUGAACUUAAGCAUAUCAAUAAGCGGAGGA
rnacentral:misc_RNA from 1 species